AGAGUUUGAUCCUGGCUCAGAUUGAACGCUGGCGGCGUGCCUAACACAUGCAAGUCGAGCGGUAACAGGUGUAGCAAUACAUGCUGACGAGCGGCGAACGGGUGAGUAAUGCUUUGGAAUCUUCCCAGUAGUGGGGAAUAACCAGUCGAAAGAUUGGCUAAUACCGCAUACGUCUGUAAAGGGAAAGCGGGGGCUCGUAAGACCUCGCGCUAUUGGAUGAGCCAAAGUCGGAUUAGCUAGUUGGUGGGGUAAUGGCCUACCAAGGCGACAAUCCGUAGCUGGUCUGAGAGGACGACCAGCCACACCGGAACUGAGACACGGUCCGGACUCCUACGGGAGGCAGCAGUGGGGAAUAUUGGACAAUGGGGGAAACCCUGAUCCAGCGACGCCGCGUGUGUGAAGAAGGCCUGCGGGUUGUAAAGCACU
rnacentral:rRNA from 1 species